rnacentral:rRNA from 1 species
UACGAAGGGAGCUAGCGUUACUCGGAAUUAUUGGGCGUAAAGCGUGCGUAGGCGGUUUUAUAAGUCUGAAGUGAAAGCCUGGGGCUCAACCCCAGAACUGCUUCAGAUACUGUAAAACUCGAGUGUCAGAGGGGAUAGCGGAAUUCCUAGUGUAGAGGUGAAAUUCGUAGAUAUUAGGAGGAACACCGGUGGCGAAGGCGGCUAUCUGGCUGAAUACUGACGCUGUUGCACGAAAGCGUGGGGAGCAAACAGG